GGAUAAAGAAAAACAUUUUAGAAAACCACUUGUAGAGUACCAUGAACCAGUCUCUCUUCUCCAUUUUAAAAAAUUUAUUGACUCACUUUUUUUCCAUAACUUUUUGAGAUAUUAUUUCAACCACUUUGCAUUUAGAGAAAAAGAGUCAGAGAGUGAUUAAGAAAUCUGCCCAAUGCUAUACUGAUAGAAGCUGGGAGAACUGGGAUUUGAGCUUACAUAGGCUAGUUCUAGCAUUUGUGAAGUUCUCGCCUAAUAAAAAUUAUCUGUAAUCAUAACCAGAGCAAGUCAUUUCUAACCUCCUGUCUAUAGACACGCGGAUACAUUUGUAAUGUUUUUGUUUGUUUGUUUUUAGCACGACAGAUCAAUUCCUGCUGGCAUUAUAGUUCUUUAACUAUCAUAGCUUCUCUGAUUUUUCAACACAUCUGUCAUCCGUAUUCUGCAGGCAUAGCCAACUCUGUCAGUGUCUCCUCAGGCAAUCAGAAUCAACAGACAGAAUGUAGGACAGAAAACUGGCUGCAAACAUGUUGGAAGGGCUGGAGGAGCGAAAGAGGGAAGAUCUGUUACCUAGAGAUAGUAACUUCCAGAAGUUACCACUAUACUAGUGCAGGAGAAGCAGAAAGGAAGAUGCUGCUACCCAGAGCCCACAGUCAUUGUGCCCCUGAUGCCGCUGGAACCCCACUGCAGCUGCUUUACAGGAAGCAGGGAAUUAGCGCUCUUGCUGAUGCUACAGGUAUCCAGGAUCCAAAAGUCAUCAGCCGCUGUCCCUGUUGCAGCCUAGGGAAACUGUCCCACUGAGGUUGUUGGGGUACCUGCUACUGCAUCUACUGUCUGAACCAUGUUGCCUGAGCAGAUGUCCAGGGCUCAGGCUUGCCUGCUGCUGUUACUGCUGCCACCAUGUUUAUCAGAGCUACUUCAAGAAGAGAAGAAAUCCUCCUCAUUUCCAGUUUUUUCCAGUGCCUCCCAUUGCUUCCCAGAAUGCCAAAUUCUCUUUGAGAGACAGCUGAAAGGAAGGUUUGGAAAAGACUCUGGUGUAAGCAGAUUCUGCUUCCCUGCAAUAGGGGGAAAGCAUAGGGUGGAACUGGAGCUGAGAGCUAAUCACGAAUGAGCAAAUCAGUCUUCAAGACAUUUACCUUUCCUUGAAACGUUUCCCUUCUUUUACCGUGUUUUCCAUGUCAUUAUUUUUCCACAAUUCUGCAUCAUAUUCUGUUAACUAUUAAUGCCCUGGAUAAGUUUAUUUGCUCUUUCUUAGGGUUAAUUUUUCUCCUUUUCUUCGAAGCUUUAGUUUGCAGGUUCAGCUUGUGUGGGAAUUUUCAUCUCCCUCCUCUUCAAGACUCCUUGGAUAUCAGUUUUUUGGUUGCCUUCACCAACUCUCCCCCCACCAUCUCUAGACCAGGGCAUGGUCUUAGUUGGUGGCUUGGACUCCUGUGGCUUGGAGUCUUUGGGGAUAUUAGAGAUCCAGUCACUGAGCUGGCAAAGGGAACACUGUCCUUGCUUCCAGCUUUAUGAAGAACGCUUUGCUCUGUCACCCCACGUAAAUAAUCAUGUUAUUCAAGGAUAAUGAAUGCAGCCACCAUGUAAUCAUCACUGACUCCAUGGCCAUGAGAAAAGAGACCUAAGAAAUGAUGCCCAUCCAGAAGAGUGAAGACUUCCUGAAAAUGUUCUUUUAACCUAAGAUGUAGGUUAAGAGGAGUGAAAAAAUGUUCUGUUUCUGACUGAUGAUGGAGCAACAAAGGAACUCCUAAAGAAGAAAUCAUCCAUUCAGUGAGAGCAAAUGAACACUCCAACAGACUGAAACAAAGCAUCUUUACAGGAGAUGUGAAUGCGAGAAAGCAAAGAGAACUACAGUCAGGGUCUCCGCUGGCAUGGCCCAAGCCCACCGUGGCAUGAUCCAGAGAGACGAGUCAGCAGAGCACUAUGGGCAGCUCCCAUACUCUUCGCAGAUCAACAAGCCAGCAUAUAACCCAGGGAGAUAGAUAAUAGUGAUGCUGUGCUC
ensembl:lncRNA LINC02795 long intergenic non-protein coding RNA 2795